rnacentral:rRNA from 1 species
UACGGAGGGUGCGAGCGUUAAUCGGAAUUACUGGGCGUAAAGGGCGCGUAGGCGGCUGAUCAAGUCAGGUGUGAAAGCCCACGGCUUAACCGUGUGAAGUGCAUCUGAAACUGGUCGGCUUGAGUAUCGGAGAGGAAAGUGGAAUUCCCGGUGUAGAGGUGAAAUUCGUAGAUAUCGGGGAGGAAACUACCCGGUAGUCGGACGGGAACGGGACCUUUACGUCCCCCGGUACGGGGAACCUAAACUUACGUACGGACCGUCGUACGGACGUCGGAAACGACCGGUAAAGGGGGA